rnacentral:rRNA from 1 species
AGCAGCCGCGGUAAUUCCAGCUCCAAUAGCGUAUAUUAAAGUUGUUGCAGUUAAAAAGCUCGUAGUUGAAUUUCGGGAUUGACGUGAUGGUCGUGCCUUAAGGGGUAUGAACUGUUGCUGUUGAUUUCUCACCUUCUGGAGAAACUUGAUGUCCUUAAUUGGGUGUCUUGCGGAUCCAGGACCUUUACCUUGAAAAAAUUAGAGUGUUUAAAGCAGGCAUUUUGCUCGAAUACAUUAGCAUGGAAUAAUAGAAUAGGACGGCAUGGUUCUAUUUUGUUGGUUUCUAGGAUCACCGUAAUGAUUAAUAGGGAUAGUUGGGGGCAUUAGUAUUCAAUUGUCAGAGGUGAAAUUCUUGGAUUUAUUGAAGACUAACUACUGCGAAAGCAUUUGCCAAGGAUGUUUUCAUUAAUCAAGAACGAAAGUUAGGGGAUCGAAGACGAUCAGAUACCGUCGUAGUCUUAACCAUAAACUAUGCCGACUAGGAAUCAGACGAUGUUAAUUUUUUAAUGACU